CCAGCCGCCCCCACACCCCCGCAGCCCCUGCCAAACUCAACCAGGUCUCGCCCCCGGUCUUCGAUAUUGGAGACGACCAGAGCGUGGUGUCCGCUCAGAGCCCUGCCAGCACAUCCAUGGAGCCCCUAGUGGCUGGUCUCAUCUCCCUCUUCAUCAUCGCGCUCGGCCUGGUCUCCACCCUCCUCUACCUCAAGUUCCAACAGCGCCGCGUCCGCCCGGAGUUCCGACGUCUCCAAGACUUGCCCAUGGAUGACAUGAUGGAGGACACCCCCCUGUCCCUGUACAGCUACUGACCCGUCCCUACCGCCACCGCGACACGCCGCCCGUUCCAGAUUGCACACGAUUAGUCAUGUAGAAAAAGAAGUGCUCCGUGUGACGAUGAACAUGCUUGUUUUCUUAUCGCACAGCUGACUGUGUACGCAUCGUAGACACUGCCUGCAGGGAUUUUAAAAGACCUGCCUGUCCUGACCAGGACCCUAGGAGCUGCCCUGGACCUUCUGCCAAAGUGCACCCCUCACAACACUGCCACUGCUACCCGGCUCUCAAGAACCUCCUUGUAUCUGCCCUCUCUUGCAUCGCUCUGUUUUGGUGAAGCGCCACAGAAAAGAGCUGCUUG